CGGGGUGUCAGUGCGGGCAAGUUGCAUGGAAAUGCACGCCGUGGAGGGUGAGAGCCCCGUCCAACCCACACAGGACACGCCGUACGAGAGCGUUUCAGGCGAGUCGGGUAGCUUGGGAAUGCUGCUCUAAUCGGUGGUAAAUCUCAUCGAAGGCUAAAUAGCGGCUGGAGACCGAUAGCGAACAAGUACCGUGAGGGAAAGAUGACAAGCACUUUGAAAAGAGGGUGAAAAGAGCCUGAAACCGUCAUGGGGGAAGCGGAUCGCGUUGGCCUGGUGGGCGCCUGUGUGUUCAGCCUUCGGGUGCAUUGGCACAGGUGCUUAUCCGCUGUGGGUUUUCGGGGGUCGAUUUUGGAUCCCUGGAGGCUGAGGGCUCCCUUCGGGUGAGGACAGCGGAGUGACGACGCGAUACGACCCGUCUUGAAACACGGACCAAGGAGUCUAGCGCGGGUGCGAGUCGGAGGGUGCAAGCCCGUGGGCGAAGUGAAAGCGAGUGUAAAAACGAGCAGUUUGGGGCGGCAUAAGAUCGUUGAUCUCAAGACCGACCCAGAGCAGUUGCGCUGGGACCCGAAAGAUGGUGAACUAUGCCGGAGUAGGGCAAAGCCAGAGGAAACUCUGGUGGAGGCUCGUAGCGGUGCUGACGUGCAAAUCGCUCGUCCAACUUGGGUAUAGGGGCGAAAGACUAAUCGAACCAUCUAGUAGCUGGUUCCCUCCGAAGUUUCUCUCAGGAUAGCGGGCCGACAAGUUGUUUUGUGCGGUAAAGCGAAUGAUUAGCGCACGUGGGGCCAUUUCGGCUUCAGGCGAUUCUCAAACUUUAAAUGCGCAAGGGUGUCGCUGCUUAAUUGAGCGGCACCGCUAAAAACGUCGGCCCUGUGGGCCACUUUUGGUAAGCA
rnacentral:rRNA from 1 species